AAGCCAUAAGAUCCUGUAUCCCAAGGGAGCCUAGCGACAUGUUGGAUGCAUUCAUCUCCAGUUGUAUCCAGUCAGUGCACAAAGUGGUCCAUAGGACAGAGACAGUGAUCUUUCAGGAAGAUGACAAAAGAGGCCACAGACAUUAGCCAGCAAUCCAGAAAAUCACUGGUCAUCACUGUGGGAGUGAGAGUCAACAGACUAGAGGAAGAAGCAGCAGCUGGUAAAGAAAAGGCAGGCAAAUAGACUAACUGGAAAACAUGAAAGAAAUCUCACUCUGAUGAAUUAGGACAAGACUGCAGCUCCAGGCA